rnacentral:rRNA from 1 species
AGUGAACGCUGGCGGUAGGCCUAACACAUGCAAGUCGAACGGCAGCACAGUAAGAGCUUGCUCUUACGGGUGGCGAGUGGCGGACGGGUGAGGAAUACAUCGGAAUCUACUUUUUCGUGGGGGAUAACGUAGGGAAACUUACGCUAAUACCGCAUACGACCUACGGGUGAAAGCAGGGGAUCUUCGGACCUUGCGCGAUUGAAUGAGCCGAUGUCGGAUUAGCUAGUUGGCGGGGUAAAGGCCCACCAAGGCGACGAUCCGAAGCUGGUCUGAGAGGAUGAUCAGCCACACUGGAACUGAGACACGGUCCAGACUCCUGCGGGAGGCAGCAGUGGGGAAUAUUGGACAAUGGGCGCAAGCCUGAUCCAGCCAUACCGCGUGGGUGAAGAAGGCCUUCGGGUUGUAAAGCCCUUUUGUUGGGAAAGAAAAGCAGCAGGUUAAUACCCCGCUGUUCUGACGGUACCCAAAGAAUAAGCACCGGCUAACUUCGUG